GGAGAGAGUGAUAUUGAUGUGACAUUGAUGAAUGAAGAAUGUGCGGACUACCAUUUUGAAUGGGAAGUCAUGAAUGAGUGGGGUAUUAGUGAUCACAAUGUGAUACGAAUAUGCAUGAAGUACGGAUAUGCAUAAGCGUCGGAUUGUUCACCCGCCAACAGAGAACGUGAGCUGGGUUUAGACCGUCGUGAGACAGUUUAGUUUUACUCUACUGAUGAUUAGUCAUUGCGACAGUAAUCCUGCUCAGUACGAGAGGAACCGCAGGUUCGGACAUUUGGUUCACGCACUCGGUCAAGCGGCCGGUGGUGCAAAGCUACCAUCCGUGGGAUUAUGCCUGAACGCCUUUAAGGCCGUAUCCUCUCUAGUCAAAGGUGGCAAUGAUAUAUCUAAGAAUCUCGUGAGUAAAAGGCUCAAAACAAUGUGACACUACUAGGCGGCCGGUUGCCCUUUGCGGGGUGGACCAAUCGUCGCACGAGCCCGGUUUGCCGUACGGCGCCAUCGUCCGUCGUCGAGAUCUCACCGCCUACAAAGGCGCAGCGUCUAACAGUCAAACAUGAGUUUUGCGAGUUCGAUGUCGAGACUCGGAAUCGUCUGUAGACGACUUAGGUACCUGGUCGGGG
rnacentral:ncRNA from 1 species